GAUCCGGCUCAGGAUAAACGCUGGCGGCGCACAUAAGACAUGCAAGUCGAACGGGCUUAACCAUUAGUUUACUAUUGGAGCGGUUAGUGGCGGACUGGUGAGUAACACGUAAGCAACCUGCCUAUCAGAGGGGAACAACAGUUAGAAAUGACUGCUAAUACCGCAUAUGCCUAAGUACCACAUGGUACAAUAGGGAAAGGAGUAAUCCGCUGAUAGAUGGGCUUGCGUCUGAUUAGA
rnacentral:rRNA from 1 species